rnacentral:rRNA from 1 species
UCUGGUUGAUCCUGCCAGUAGUCAUAUGCUUGUCUCAAAGAUUAAGCCAUGCAUGUCUAAGUACAAACCUUAAUACGGUGAAACCGCGAAUGGCUCAUUAAAUCAGCUAUGGUUCCUUAGAUCGUCUCAUCCUACUCGGAUAACUGUGGAAAAUCUAGAGCUAAUACGUGCUUACAAGCCCUGACCUCACGGGAGGGGCGCAUUUAUUAGAUCAAAACCAAUCGGGGCUUGCCCCGUCUGCUUGGUGACUCUGGAUAACUUUUGUGCUGAUCGCAUGGCCUCUGCGCUGGCGACGUAUCUUUCAAGUGUCUGCCCUAUCAACUUACGAUGGUAGGUGAUAUGCCUACCAUGGUUAUAACGGGUAACGGGGAAUCAGGGUUCGAUUCCGGAGAGGGAGCCUGAGAAACGGCUACCACAUCUAAGGAAGGCAGCAGGCGCGCAAAAUUACCCACUCCCGGCACGGGGAGGUAGUGACGAAAAAUAACGAUACGGGACUCUUUUGAGGCCCCGUAAUUGGAAUGAGUACACUUUAAAUCCGUUAACAAGUAUCUAUUGGAGGGCAAGUCUGGUGCCAGCAGCCGCGGUAAUUCCAGCUCCAAUAGCGUAUAUUAAUGUUGCUGCAGUUAAAAAGCUCGUAGUUGGAUCUGAGGACUCGAAUUGGUGGUGCACCAUACGGUGUUACUGCCGAUUCGGCCUACCUAGUCGGUGCUCGCUCUUGGUGUUCUUAAUUGAAUGCCCUGAGUGCCCGGCAAGUUUACUUUGAAAAAAUUAGAGUGCUCAAAGCAGGCCAUUAGCCGGAAUACUUCAGCAUGGAAUAAUGGAAUAGGACUUCGGUUCUAUUUUGUUGGUUUUCGGAACCCGAGGUAAUGAUUAAGAGAGACAGACGGGGGCAUUCGUACUGCGGUGUUAGAGGUGAAAUUCUUGGAUCGCCGCAAGACGAACAACUGCGAAAGCAUUUGCCAAGAAUGUUUUCAUUAAUCAAGAACGAAAGUCAGAGGUUCGAAGACGAUCAGAUACCGUCCUAGUUCUGACCAUAAACGAUGCCAACUGGCGAUCCGAGAUCGUUUGCUUAUUGACCUCUCGGGCAGCCUCCGGGAAACCAAAGUUUUUAGGUUCCGGGGGAAGUAUGGUUGCAAAGCUGGAAACUGUUCAAUUGCAACUCUGCCUGUGACACCAAGUGGUCGGGUUACUUGGUCUGUUCUGGCCCGGAGUCGGUAGGGUUUCCGGCCUUGUGCUCUUUCCUUACUGUUCUCUGUAACGCCGAAGGCGGGGCUUCCACGGUGGGGAAGCGGUUGUACAAAUCCGGCCAAAUCCAGCCAAAUGGGUUCCGGACUCUGUCCAACCUGCAACUGGUAACAGCCUCGGCUGGCUAACAUUUGAGCUGGGACUCGCUUGGGAGGAGCGAGGAUAAAUAUAAACCUCUAUGUGACUGAGGUGAGGAAUCUGGUUCUCGUAAAAUGCUGGAGAUCCCGAGCCUGUAAGUCAUAAAUUAGUUCCCCCACGAGGGGAGGUGUCGAAUUGAAGCCAGUGCGUGCCCUUACUAGUUUAAGGAUUGUAUAACUUCCUUUGGUGUACCCACCUGGAAGUGCCCAAGGGGUCCUAUCCCUGCACUCCAUCCCCGAUUGGAGUCAGGUGACGGCUCCUUA